AACCUAGCACACCUGCGGUGUGUACCUGCGGAGGGAUCAUUACCGAGUUUACAACUCCCAAACCCCUGUGAACAUACCUAUACGUUGCCUCGGCGGAUCAGCCCGCGCCCUGUAAAAAGGGACGGCCCGCCCGAGGACCCUAAACUCUGUUUUUAGUGGAACUUCUGAGUAAAACAAACAAAUAAAUCAAAACUUUCAGCAAUGGAUCU
rnacentral:misc_RNA from 1 species